GGCUGGGUGGCAGAGUGGUUAUGCAGAGGACUGCAAAUCCUUGGACGUCGGUUCGACUCCGGUCCCAGCCU
rnacentral:tRNA from 1 species